rnacentral:rRNA from 1 species
GGGUUGUGAGGUUAAGCGACUAAGCGUACACGGUGGAUGCCCUGGCAGUCAGAGGCGAUGAAGGACGUGCUAAUCUGCGAUAAGCGUCGGUAAGGUGAUAUGAACCGUUAUAACCGGCGAUUUCCGAAUGGGGAAACCCAGUGUGUUUCGACACACUAUCAUUAACUGAAUCCAUAGGUUAAUGAGGCGAACCGGGGGAACUGAAACAUCUAAGUACCCCGAGGAAAAGAAAUCAACCGAGAUUCCCCCAGUAGCGGCGAGCGAACGGGGAGGAGCCCAGAGCCUGAAUCAGUGUGUGUGUUAGUGGAAGCGUCUGGAAAGGCGCGCGAUACAGGGUGACAGCCCCGUACACAAAAAUGCACAUAUUGUGAGCUCGAUGAGUAGGGCGGGACACGUGGUAUCCUGUCUGAAUAUGGGGGGACCAUCCUCCAAGGCUAAAUACUCCUGACUGACCGAUAGUGAACCAGUACCGUGAGGGAAAGGCGAAAAGAACCCCGGCGAGGGGAGUGAAAAAGAACCUGAAACCGUGUACGUACAAGCAGUGGGAGCCUCUUUUAUGGGGUGACUGCGUACCUUUUGUAUAAUGGGUCAGCGACUUAUAUUCUGUAGCAAGGUUAACCGAAUAGGGGAGCCGAAGGGAAACCGAGUCUUAACUGGGCGUUAAGUUGCAGGGUAUAGACCCGAAACCCGGUGAUCUAGCCAUGGGCAGGUUGAAGGUUGGGUAACACUAACUGGAGGACCGAACCGACUAAUGUUGAAAAAUUAGCGGAUGACUUGUGGCUGGGGGUGAAAGGCCAAUCAAACCGGGAGAUAGCUGGUUCUCCCCGAAAGCUAUUUAGGUAGCGCCUCGUGAAUUCAUCUCCGGGGGUAGAGCACUGUUUCGGCAAGGGGGUCAUCCCGACUUACCAACCCGAUGCAAACUGCGAAUACCGGAGAAUGUUAUCACGGGAGACACACGGCGGGUGCUAACGUCCGUCGUGAAGAGGGAAACAACCCAGACCGCCAGCUAAGGUCCCAAAGUCAUGGUUAAGUGGGAAACGAUGUGGGAAGGCCCAGACAGCCAGGAUGUUGGCUUAGAAGCAGCCAUCAUUUAAAGAAAGCGUAAUAGCUCACUGGUCGAGUCGGCCUGCGCGGAAGAUGUAACGGGGCUAAACCAUGCACCGAAGCUGCGGCAGCGACGCUGAUGCGUUGUUGGGUAGGGGAGCGUUCUGUAAGCCUGUGAAGGUGUACUGUGAGGUAUGCUGGAGGUAUCAGAAGUGCGAAUGCUGACAUAAGUAACGAUAAAGCGGGUGAAAAGCCCGCUCGCCGGAAGACCAAGGGUUCCUGUCCAACGUUAAUCGGGGCAGGGUGAGUCGACCCCUAAGGCGAGGCCGAAAGGCGUAGUCGAUGGGAAACAGGUUAAUAUUCCUGUACUUGGUGUUACUGCGAAGGGGGGACGGAGAAGGCUAUGUUGGCCGGGCGACGGUUGUCCCGGUUUAAGCGUGUAGGCUGGUUUUCCAGGCAAAUCCGGAAAAUCAAGGCUGAGGCGUGAUGACGAGGCACUACGGUGCUGAAGCAACAAAUGCCCUGCUUCCAGGAAAAGCCUCUAAGCAUCAGGUAACAUUGAAUCGUACCCCAAACCGACACAGGUGGUCAGGUAGAGAAUACCAAGGCGCUUGAGAGAACUCGGGUGAAGGAACUAGGCAAAAUGGUGCCGUAACUUCGGGAGAAGGCACGCUGAUAUGUAGGUGAAGUCCCUCGCGGAUGGAGCUGAAAUCAGUCGAAGAUACCAGCUGGCUGCAACUGUUUAUUAAAAACACAGCACUGUGCAAACACGAAAGUGGACGUAUACGGUGUGACGCCUGCCCGGUGCCGGAAGGUUAAUUGAUGGGGUCAGCGCAAGCGAAGCUCUUGAUCGAAGCCCCGGUAAACGGCGGCCGUAACUAUAACGGUCCUAAGGUAGCGAAAUUCCUUGUCGGGUAAGUUCCGACCUGCACGAAUGGCGUAAUGAUGGCCAGGCUGUCUCCACCCGAGACUCAGUGAAAUUGAACUCGCUGUGAAGAUGCAGUGUACCCGCGGCAAGACGGAAAGACCCCGUGAACCUUUACUAUAGCUUGACACUGAACAUUGAGCCUUGAUGUGUAGGAUAGGUGGGAGGCUUAGAAGUGUGGACGCCAGUCUGCAUGGAGCCGACCUUGAAAUACCACCCUUUAAUGUUUGAUGUUCUAACGUUGACCCGUGAUCCGGGUUGCGGACAGUGUCUGGUGGGUAGUUUGACUGGGGCGGUCUCCUCCUAAAGAGUAACGGAGGAGCACGAAGGUUGGCUAAUCCUGGUCGGACAUCAGGAGGUUAGUGCAAUGGCAUAAGCCAGCUUGACUGCGAGCGUGACGGCGCGAGCAGGUGCGAAAGCAGGUCAUAGUGAUCCGGUGGUUCUGAAUGGAAGGGCCAUCGCUCAACGGAUAAAAGGUACUCCGGGGAUAACAGGCUGAUACCGCCCAAGAGUUCAUAUCGACGGCGGUGUUUGGCACCUCGAUGUCGGCUCAUCACAUCCUGGGGCUGAAGUAGGUCCCAAGGGUAUGGCUGUUCGCCAUUUAAAGUGGUACGCGAGCUGGGUUUAGAACGUCGUGAGACAGUUCGGUCCCUAUCUGCCGUGGGCGCUGGAGAACUGAGGGGGGCUGCUCCUAGUACGAGAGGACCGGAGUGGACGCAUCACUGGUGUUCGGGUUGUCAUGCCAAUGGCACUGCCCGGUAGCUAAAUGCGGAAGAGAUAAGUGCUGAAAGCAUCUAAGCACGAAACUUGCCCCGAGAUGAGUUCUCCCUGACCCUUUAAGGGUCCUGAAGGAACGUUGAAGACGACGACGUUGAUAGGCCGGGUGUGUAAGCGCAGCGAUGCGUUGAGCUAACCGGUACUAAUGAACCGUGAGGCUUAACCUUACAACGCCGAAG